rnacentral:lncRNA from 1 species
CCCACCCACUCUUUCCUGCCAGUACCAUGACAGGGACAAGUUAACAUGGCAAGAUGGACAUACUUGGUCUCCCCCAGGAAAGGACCAUCCUCCCAACCCUUGACUCUUGUAUCUAGAAACAUCCUUUUCUUACAGUAACAGGAAUGUCAUACAAUCCUUUCUUACACAGAAGUGAUGCAGUGGAAGCAGAUUCCAAGCUCAGUGAUCUUCAGUCUAAUAUCAGCUUUCUUCAUUAUUUUUCCCCAAUAAAAAUAAAAACUUUUGAUAUUCUAAUGUUCUGAAAAAUUAUAAGAACAAAAUUACUUAAAUUUGUGUUUCUGAGAAGUUUGAGUUUUCAUAAACUUAAAUAUGAAUAAGACAAAUACUGUAUUGGUGUUCACUUUAAGGCAGAAGUAUUGAAGCUGCUUUAAUUUUGCAUGAGACAGAACUUCAGAGGAAAAAGAAAUAGGUAAUGAUAAUUUCUUAAGAUUCUGGUAUAUAUAUAUAUUUGAAUCCUCAUUUCCCAAAUAUAUGUAUACUUCUUUUAAUAAGUGAAAACCUAUGCAACUUUUUACUGAUCCUUUCCUUCUGAUCCUUUUGAACAGUGGUUGAAUCU